CUACGGGUCGCUCCAGUGGGGAAUAUUGCACAAUGGAGGAAACUCUGAUGCAGCAACGCCGCGUGGAGGAUGACACUUUUCGGAGCGUAAACUCCUUUUAUAUAGGAAGAAGAUGACGGUACUAUAUGAAUAAGCGCCGGCUAACUCCGUGCCAGCAGCCGCGGUAAUACGGAGGGCGCAAGCGUUACUCGGAAUCACUGGGCGUAAAGGGCGUGUAGGCGGAUUAAAAAGUCAGAAGUGAAAUCCUAUAGCUUAACUAUAGAACUGCUUCUGAAACUCUUAAUCUAGAAUAUGGGAGAGGUAGAUGGAAUUUCUGGUGUAGGGGUAAGAUCCGUAGAGAUCAGAAGGAAUACCGAUUGCGAAGGCGAUCUACUAGAACAUUAUUGACGCUGAGACGCGAAAGCGUGGGGAGCAAACAGGAUUAGAUACCCCGGUAGUC
rnacentral:rRNA from 1 species